UUGACCUCGGAUCAAGUAGAAUACGCGCAUAUCAAUAAGCGGAGGA
rnacentral:rRNA from 1 species